rnacentral:rRNA from 1 species
AGUGGGGAAUCUUGGACAAUGGGCGCAAGCCUGAUCCAGCCAUGCCGCGUGUGUGAUGAAGGCCUUAGGGUCGUAAAGCACUUUCGCCAGAGAUGAUAAUGACAGUAUCUGGUAAAGAAACCCCGGCUAACUCCGUGCCAGCAGCCGCGGUAAUACGGAGGGGGUUAGCGUUGUUCGGAAUUACUGGGCGUAAAGCGCACGUAGGCGGACUAGUCAGUCAGAGGUGAAAUCCCAGGGCUCAACCCUGGAACUGCCUUUGAUACUGCUAGUCUUGAGUUCGAGAGAGGUGAGUGGAAUUCCGAGUGUAGAGGUGAAAUUCGUAGAUAUUCGGAGGAACACCAGUGGCGAAGGCGGCUCACUGGCUCGAUACUGACGCUGAGGUGCGAAAGUGUGGGGAGCAAACAGGAUUAGAUACCCUGGUAGUCCACACCGUAAACGAUGAAUGCCAGUCGUCGGGCAGUAUACUGUUCGGUGACACACCUAACGGAUAAGCAUUUCCGCCUG